rnacentral:lncRNA from 1 species
CAAGAUAUAAAACUGCCAAAUGUUGAAUUCCAGGGAGUCACACUGAAUGUUUUCUUUUAUCUUUUUUUGUACGAAUGGUGAAGCAGAGCCAAAGUUUUGAUGAGGGUGGCUAACUAAGAGGGAAAAAUGAAAACAUGUAACUCUUGAUUCUCACACUGAAGUUAAUAUUAUUUUCUAUGUGACUGGUGGGGGGUUUCUAAGAUUUGUAAAAUAUUAAAAGAUAUGUGUACAUACAAAUGCAAAGUGUCAGAAUGGAUCAUCAACUCAUUGUCCAUGAUGUAGCUUCCACUUUAAGAUAAAAGAUCAUAUCAAUGGAUCCAAAGCCACAGGUGUUCAUCUCCAGAACACACAGACAUCACUUAGCAUAACUUUGCCAACCACAGACUUCAAUCAACUUCGUCAAACGCCUGGAGCAAUGGAAGGCACAUCUUUCCUCCUUGCGGCCAACAAAUGUAUCUUUAGUUCAUGAAAUUAUUAUUUUGGUUCAUUGUGGUAUUCCCUAUCAUUUUAAAGGAAAAAUAAAACAAAAAAAUUGAAGGAAAAAACUUUAUGUUCAAAAC